GAAAUGCGAUAAGUAAUGUGAAUUGCAGAAUUCAGUGAAUCAUCGAAUCUUUGAACGCACCUUGCGCUCCUUGGUAUUCCUUGGAGCAUGCCUGUUUGAGUAUCAUGAAAUCUUCAAAGUAAAUCUUUUGUUAACUCAAUUGGUUUCUACUUUGGUAUUGGAGGUCUUUGCAGCUUCACACCUGCUCCUCUUUGUUCAUUAGCUGGAUCUCAGUGUUAUGCUUGGUUCCACUCGGCGUGAUAAGUUAUCUAUCGCUGAGGACACUGUAAAAGGUGGCCAAGGUAAAUGCAGAUGAACCGCUUCUAAUUGUCCAUUGACUUGGACAAUACUUUUAUGAUCUGAUCUCAAAUCAGGUAGGACUACCCGCUGAACUUAAGC
rnacentral:misc_RNA from 1 species